CGGUAACAGGUCUUCGGAUGCUGACGAGUGGCGAACGGGUGAGUAAUGCAUCGGAACGUGCCCAGUCGUGGGGGAUAACGCAGCGAAAGCUGUGCUAAUACCGCAUACGAUCUAUGGAUGAAAGCGGGGGACCGUAAGGCCUCGCGCGAUUGGAGCGGCCGAUGUCAGAUUAGGUAGUUGGUGGGGUAAAGGCUCACCAAGCCAACGAUCUGUAGCUGGUCUGAGAGGACGACCAGCCACACUGGAACUGAGACACGGUCCAGACUCCUACGGGAGGCAGCAGUGGGGAAUUUUGGACAAUGGGCGCAAGCCUGAUCCAGCAAUGCCGCGUGCAGGAAGAAGGCCUUCGGGUUGUAAACUGCUUUUGUACGGAACGAAACGGUCUUGGUUAAUACCUGGGGCUAAUGACGGUACCGUAAGAAUAAGCACCGGCUAACUACGUGCCAGCAGCCGCGGUAAUACGUAGGGUGCAAGCGUUAAUCGGAAUUACUGGGCGUAAAGCGUGCGCAGGCGG
rnacentral:rRNA from 1 species